UACGAAGGGGGCUAGCGUUGUUCGGAUUUACUGGGCGUAAAGCGCACGUAGGCGGUUUGUUAAGUCAGGGGUGAAAUCCCGGAGCUCAACUCCGGAACUGCCUUUGAUACUGGCAAGCUAGAGUCCGGAAGAGGGUAAGUGGAACUCCUAGUGUAGAGGUGGAAUUCGUAGAUAUUAGGAAGAACACCAGUGGCGAAGGCGGCUUACUGGUCCGGAACUGACGCUGAGGUGCGAAAGCGUGGGGAGGCAAACAGG
rnacentral:rRNA from 1 species